UAAACCGAAAUCUGAAGAAUAAAAUACACAACCAACCAAAAGAUAGGUAUCCGAGUUCGAAAGGAGGCUCAAAGUCUAUUGGCAAAACAGGGACAUGCCACUGAAAACAAUUACCACAUUGCAAUGUUCACCACAACACAACACAUGCAAAUGCACAAAUGAAGCUACCAACUUCCUUGCCUAACAGAUUUGUAAAACAACAAACACAAGGUGAUACCUUCUGGAGGCUAUCAAUAUAUUAUUAUACUCAACCUCCACCAACAAUUUAACAGCAGCUACUCGGAUAGAACUCUUCAAGAUACUGUUUUCUAAUCCUCAUCAUCAUCAUCAUCAUCAUCACCAUCUUCUUUGUUCUUCUUGAGGCGGGUUGUACCACCCUCCUUACUAAUGGGCAACUUCAUUGCUCCAAAAGGUGUAUCCACAUUAAUAUGUCCUUUCAUAGUGUAACCAGUGCCUUUUCCUCUAAUCAUGUCCCAAAGUGCAGAGCCAAAGUCCUUAGGCCUGAAGGUGAUGGGAAUAUCAAUGUAACUAAUUCCAUUUUUGUCAAUUUUGGUAGAUUUGGCUAGUUCUGCACCCCCAAUGCUUACAUCAGAUAGCCAAACUUCAUAGUCUAAUCCAUUAAGGCCCAAGUCAAAAUCAUUCUUGUUUUCUAACUUCAAAUGAAGCAUAGCAACAGUUUCUUCAAAGGAAAACCUCUCAAAGUGUAUUUUCUCAAGAUCAAUAUCAGGCUUGUAAGGUAUCGGAAUCUCUCCAGUUUUCUCAAGAGGUAGAGUUAGCCUUCCAAAGACCGGAACAUCUACAAUGAGAUCAACCUUAAUCCUGUAUGGAAUGAUACUUCCAGGCUUAAUAUCAUUGUAUGUGCUUCUUAUAUCGUCAUAAAUCAAAGUAACUGGUAUUUUGACAGUCUCCUCGCCAUGUGCAUGAAUAGUUCCAGCAUCUGGUAUUAAGCCUGAAACAAGUUUCCGUCCAUCACUCUCAAUUAAGUAGUUGAUGUCAAUGAGAGGGAUUGGAAUAGGAUUGGGGUUCUUAACAAGCACAUCAACAACAAGAUCUGCCUUCUCUAGAUUGAUUGAAGGGAUAUGAAUCCCUGUAACAUCUGCAGUUGGCUUGCCAAAACCAAUAGCUCCCUCAAUCUUUUCACCAAUGUCAUGAAUGAAGUCCUUUACCUUGUCGAUAAAUCCACCCUUAUCCUCAUCCUCGUUGUGAUCUUUCUCCUUGACAUCUCUAUCAAUGACUUCUGGCUUAUCAGAAGAUGCCAUAUCUGAGAAGCUUGAGCGAUGGAAGCAGCUGAUCUUGGUAGAGAGUGUAGCGUGUGAAAAGGAGAGGAG
rnacentral:misc_RNA from 1 species